rnacentral:rRNA from 1 species
GAUGAACGCUAGCGAUAGGCUUAACACAUGCAAGUCGAGGGGCAGCGAGGGUAGCAAUACCUGUCGGCGACCGGCGCACGGGUGAGUAACGCGUAUGUAACCUGCCCGCAACAGGGGGAUAACCCGGCGAAAGUCGGACUAAUACCGCAUAAAACAGGGGUCCCGCAUGGGAAUAUUUGUUAAAGAUUUAUCGGUUGCGGAUGGGCAUGCGUACCAUUAGGUAGUUGGUGAGGUAACGGCUCACCAAGCCUUCGAUGGUUAGGGGUUCUGAGAGGAAGGUCCCCCACGCUGGUACUGAGACAAGGACCAGACUCCUACGGGAGGCAGCAGUGAGGAAUAUUGGUCAAUGGGCGAGAGCCUGAACCAGCCAAGUCGCGUGAAGGAUGACUGCCCUAUGGGUUGUAAACUUCUUUUACAAGGGAAUAAAAUGAGAUACGUGUAUUUUAUUGCAUGUACCUUGGGAAUAAGCAUCGGCUAACUCCGUG